rnacentral:rRNA from 1 species
AUUGAACGCUGGCGGCAGGCCUAACACAUGCAAGUCGCACGAGUGGCGGACGGGUGAGUAAUGUCUGGGAAACUGCCUGAUGGAUGGGGAUAACUACUGAAAACGGUAGCUAAUCCCUCAUACCAUCGGAUGUGCCCAGAUGGGAUUAGCUUGUAGGUGGGGUAAUGGCUCACCAAGGAGACGAUCCCUAGCUUGUCUGAGAGGAUGACCAGCCACACUGGAACUGAGACACGGUCCAGAAUCCUACGGGAGGCAGCAGUGGGGAAUAUUGAGCAAUGGGCGCAAGCCUGAUGCAGCCAUGCAGCGUGUAUGAAGAAGGCCUUCGGGUUGUAAAUUACGUUCAGCGGGGAGGCGUUACCCGCAGAAGAAGAACCGGCUAACUCCGUGCCAGCAGCCGCGGUAAUAC